rnacentral:rRNA from 1 species
UACGAAGGGGGCUAGCGUUGCUCGGAAUUACUGGGCGUAAAGCGCACGUAGGCGGUCUUUUAAGUCGGGGGUGAAAUCCUGGAGCUCAACUCCAGAACUGCCUUCGAUACUGGAAGACUUGAGUCCGGGAGAGGUGAGUGGAACUGCGAGCGUAGAGGUGAAAUUCGUAGAUAUUCGCAAGAACACCAGUGGCGAAGGCGGCUCACUGGCCCGGUACUGACGCUGAGGUGCGAAAGCGUGGGGAGCAAACAGG